GCUUGUCUCAAAGAUUAAGCCAUGCAUGUCUAAGUAUAACUCUUUUACUUUGAAAACUGCGAACGGCUCAUUAUAUCAGUUAUAGUUUCUUUGAUAGUCCCUUACUACUUGGAUACCCGUAGUAAUUCUAGAGCUAAUACAUGCAUCAAUACCCAACUGUUCGCGGAAGGGUAGUAUUUAUUAGGUAUAGACCAACGCUGGGUAAAACCAGUUUCCCUUGGUGAUUCAUAAUAAUUAAGCGGAUCGCAUGGCCUUGUGCUAGCGACAGUCCACUCGAUUUUCUGCCCUAUCAUGGUUGAGAUUGUAAGAUAGAGGCUUACAAUGCCUACAACGGGUAACGGGGAAUUAGGGUUCGAUUCCGGAGAGGGAGCCUGAGAAACGGCUACCACAUCCAAGGAAGGCAGCAGG
rnacentral:rRNA from 1 species